rnacentral:rRNA from 1 species
UUCUGGUGUCUCAGGCGUGAAGGAACCACACCAACCCAUCCCGAACUUGGUGGUGAAACUCUAUUGCGGUGACGAUACUGUAGGGGAAGCCCCAUGGGAAAAUAGCUCGACGCCAGGAU